UACAGAGGGUGCAAGCGUUAAUCGGAAUUACUGGGCGUAAAGCGCGCGUAGGUGGUUUGUUAAGUUGGAUGUGAAAGCCCCGGGCUCAACCUGGGAACUGCAUCCAAAACUGGCAAGCUAGAGUACGGUAGAGGGUGGUGGAAUUUCCUGUGUAGCGGUGAAAUGCGUAGAUAUCGGGAGGAACACCAGUGGCGAAGGCGGUUGCCUGGGGCUUUGCUGACGCUGAUGCGCGAAAGCGUGGGGAGCGAUCCGG
rnacentral:rRNA from 1 species